rnacentral:misc_RNA from 1 species
ACCAUGUUCUCUUAAAUUGCUCAAAAGAACCAAACAUGAUUUAGAUAAACAAACUCAUCACACUUCAAUCUUCCUACCACUCGAAGCACACAGGGCGUUCUUAGCCAAUACCUUAAUAAAGAAAACAUAACUGUGUUCAUUACAAGUUAAGUCUACUGACCUUCUCACAUGUAUAUAAAAAUGUAGCAUCAAAAACUAUGGGUCCCUAUCGCGCAAGCAGCUGAGAUUCCCCAGUGAUAAUCGACCAAAUAAGUCUUAGCAGAUCAUCCCAAUUUCUCCACAAAUGUUUCUGUCAAUGUGCUUCCAUUGACAAUUUUUGUAGUUGCUACAAUUAUGUCAUAUGCCAUCCCUUCCUGGGCGCUCAGGAAGCGAAGAGCAGAGAUCUCUGCAGAUGUUACUCCACCAAUGAAAACGACAAGAACCAAAGAACGCCUUCCAUCAACAACUUUGUCUGAGUUAUGCAAAGACCCGUUUAAUGAGUCCAGCGACGGACUACUGGAAAAUCCACCCCUCUUAAUAUCUGAGUGUGGACCUGGCAGCAACUUCAGUAUUUCUUCAAUAGGUCGCCACCCAGAUCGAAUUGCAUGUUGAACUAGGCGAAUACUGAGAGGUGCAUACCCAGAGAAGACAUAGGAGAUAUCGUUGGGAUUAGCAGUAUCAGUAUCCUCCACUACAAGUCGCAGAGCACGUUUAAUUGUUAUCCAGUUGCUUUUAGUCUCCUGUUUUUUAAGCAAUCCAGACUUCUCCAAAUUAUUCAAGGUUGCUAUAUGCUCAAAACCAUAGCUGUGAAGCAGUUCCCGUCUCAAAUAGUCAAAAUUCUUCUUGGGCAACCCUGAAUUUGUUAUUGAGAACAAGAUGAGAAGACGUAGAACAUUAAUAAGUGGUUCCUGCUUAUGGAUCAUCUCUUCAAUGUACUCAAAGCAUAUAUCAUAGCUUUCAGCCUCGACAAGAGUUUGCUCCAUAUCAAGUCGGGCAAGGAAUGAAGGUUUGGAUGUAAACAUAGUUAAAUGCUGACCAAGAUUUAUGUGUCUUGUCAUUUCCGGCAAUGAGUUAAGCUUUUUGACGAAAUCCUUCAAUUCGGAAACUGUUUGGUUCGUGGUCUGCAUUUCUGUGUAAUCUUGCUUCAUGGAAGUUGCUUUUUGACGUAGAACCUGGACGACAACUUCAAAGUUCUGAUCCCGUAUCUCUUUGAACAAUUUGUCACUUGAAUUA